rnacentral:lncRNA from 1 species
UUGUGAAUAAAUAAAUAAAACAUGUUUUGGAAAAUAAUGAUUUCUGUGUGAAAUCAACUGAUUGUAAAUGAUGGGAUUUUAUCCCUAAAAACUUUGUGUAAUAUAUUAAAACGAGCAUAUUUUUACGGUUAAAAGAUCCUGUAAUAAAAGACUUCCGCUGCCAUUAGAUACCACGGGUACUGUUGAUGAUGAUGAAAUGAAAACGGAUAGCAAAGAUGCCUAGAUACUCACUUAGACGUUUAGGUACCACACUGAAAUCUGCUCGCGGACCCCGACUCCGUCCAGGGUGGGUCGGAGGCCGCGACAGAAGGUGGUAUCAGAGCUAAUAAUUAAAUUGAGCCACUGAUCGAGCCACUGAUUUAAGCCUAUUACGGAAUUAAGUAUUGGACAAAAUACUUAAUUCUACUAGUUAUCAUUCUGUGAUUAUUUGUUUUAUUAACUGAUUAUUUGAUAGUUACAGUAUGGGUAAACAAAAGCUGUCUGCCAUCUACCACAAACUAGAUGUUGCAUCUUCUUCUAAAAACCCAGUAAAUUUAGAAGAAGGAAUCUUUGUCCGCAAGGCAAAUUAUGAAAAUCCUCUUUCCCCAGAGAAAAGGGAUUCGAUACUUAAAAAG